UGGUGUGGGUAAUGGAAGUGGUUCAGAAACGUUAGGUUGAGAUGAUGGUGUUGAAACGUUCAGAAGAGUCAGCAUAAAACUUACCAGAAGCUCUUAAGGGUUGAACAACCCCAUAUGUAUCCUUCAAAAUCAUAGCCUCAUGGCGCUCACUUAGAGGCACCUCAUCUUUAUCUUGAAAGAUAGCGACCUUUUUCUUCUUCUGAGCUAUGGAGGAUCCUUCACCUCUGAAUUCCUUCUUCCUUUUACCAUGGACAUCUGGG
rnacentral:lncRNA from 1 species